CGACAUUUUGAUCUCUGUAAGUGGAAACCUAUUCGCCCCUCCCCUACGACCUUCGCGCUCAACGUCAUUCCCUUGCACUGUGUUUGACUCUCUUGUGACGUGACGUCACGAAAAGAGUACCUCCGAAGGCAUCAGAGUGCACACAACUCAAGGAGUGUUCAUCGAGGUAUGGAAUCACAAAGACGCGACCCUGCAGGUGGCCUCUGAGGAUACCAAAAGUCCAUGGAGGAAAACUGAAAGCAUCCAGCUGAAAGAAAGUCUGCCCAGAAAGGACAAUGCAGAUGUGUCUGGCACCAUCCACAACAUGAAACAGACACCAGACAACAGAAAAAACAGCAAAUAAGCUGGGAAAAACCAUCACUGCCCUAUAGACAGGUCUAAUGAAAUAUCCACACAAAUGCACUUUUAUGUAAGACAAUAUACCUAGAGGAAAAUAUCAUUAAUUUGCUUACAUAUAUUCUAUUAUGCUAGUAUAUGGGUAUUUGUUGUAAGAUCUAGGUUUAUCAUGUAACUGAAAACUUCAAAUGGUAUUUGUACAAUAUGUAACUUGCAAUUAUUUUAUUGGAAAUGUUCCAUGUUACCCAAAUUUGAUCAAAUGAAUAUCAUACAAUUGAAAUAAAACAGUACAGUGAAUACUGUCCAGUUGUAACACAAAUUGUUGCUAUCAUCCAAAAUGUAUGUAUCAUAAUUAUCUAAUAUGGUUCAUUUUACAUUUGCAAAAAGAAUAAGUCUUCAUUAGAAUCAAUCUUAUUCAAUAGUCUAUGUUAUUGGAAACGGCAUUGAAGCUUUUAAAUAGAAAAACGGGGUGGAAAUGGUAUUAAUAACCAUCUAUCUCUCCAACACCCCAGAAGGAAUGUGAGCUAAUAUUAUAAAAUCACAAUUCUCAUGUAAUGAUAAACGUUGCAUUGUAUGUUGUACAUGGAUUGGGCUGAACAUUGCCAGGAGAUUAAGACUGUUAGAGACCCAACAGGAUGAUAACUUUGGGUCAAGGUUUUGUUUAUAUGUUUACAGAGAAUGAAAACACCUGGUCACCCACCAAGCACAUCAUGCCAUGUGGCACGGGACCAGGAAGAGAAGCAGACGAGUAACAUCAACGAUGCCAGCUGAUUGCAGAACAGGCAUGCUAGAAGAAACCAUCUCUGGUGACUAUGAAUACACCAAACACUGACAUUACACUAUCUUUAAUGACAUUUACUAUUAUUCUACUGAUGGACAAUUGUGUCUUUUAUACCUAAACCAAUAUCAAGCAUGUUAACUUGUAUGGACUAAACCCCACUCGUGUAUAUUUAUGACAUCAGAUAAAUUCCACACUCCAAGACUUUAUCAUGGGAUCAAAAUUGAAAUAGCUAUGAUUGUUUAAACACUAAUGUAUACCUUUCAUUUUGGAUGUCUGUUAUAUAUGGCAAAAGGGAAUUUAUUUUGUAUACAUUGUAAAAUUCCUACUUGUAUUGUAAGAAAUGCUACUAUUAACAAGGGUACAGGCAUUGGUAUGACUCUCCAAAGAGAAGGGGAUAAAAAUUUUGCAUUCAUAGCACAGACCUAGUAACCCUGACCACAAAAAUUAUGUUUAAUGCAGGAGAUGCUGCAUAGGAAUGUUUAAGGGACAGAUGAUGCUGACAUUACUCUUAAAAAAGGGAUGAGAUGUCAGGCAAAAUGCACUUUAAAAUUUUUAAUUAGGAACCUAAGUUAUUGAAAAUUGAUCAUCUACAUCUAUGUAAAGAUUAUAUUCCUGACAAUGACUAUGUAGACAUUAUGCGCCAACUGCCAAUGCUGUAAUUAAAUAUUAAUAUCAUUGUUGAUCAUUACUCCUGAAACCCCAUCUUUUUGGGUAAUAUCUUUAUGGGAACUCUUUCUUGCUCUCUCCCACCAGUCUCAGAAUUCAGGCAGGCCACUGGAUUUGGGGUCUAUUAGCUUCCACUUCAAGUACUGGAAGACGUUCUGGGAUAUGAAAGCAAAGCCUCAGUAGUAAACUGAGUGCUCUAGGUUGGACAACCUCUGUGGACGCACAGAUGGCUGACCCUCCUAGGUGGAAUAGGUUAUUACACACAUACAUGGAGCAAGGGCAAAGUAUACACUAAGUUUCCCCUUUUGGAGUAUGUAUUGAAAAUAGGAAAAAAAUGGCACUAAUAAGAUUGCAGAAAAAGCACAUUGAAUAUUAUACAUUUACAACAAGGAAAGAAUAAGUUACAUCAAAUUCAGUAUGAACAAGUAACUGAAGAAAUUGCUUCUACAUAGAAAGCAAAUCAAACUUCUAUUAAUCCAAACAUUGGUUUGGUGGAAUGAAUUUUGCAAACAUUGGUUAUGUUGUAUUAUUGGUUAUUAUAUUGAAUGGUUCAUGUACACAGAAGCAGAAAUUUAAAUAAGGCUCAUAUAAGAAAUAUGCAGCCAGAAGGUGCAAUGUCACUUCAUUAGCUUCAUUCUUGUCAUGUCUUCAAGAAAUCAAAAUGUAAUAUUUAUGGCACUAUUGAUAUUUGAAUUAAUGUUUGCACUACUGUUUGAAAAAUGUAAAAGAUGCUAAUAUCUUUGGUAUGCUAUGCAAAAAAAGGGGGGGAUAAGAAAGAAAGUAUUUUUAAGAACAUUUCAUACCAUUUUUAUAUCAUUUUUAAUCCUAUUGAGCAAUUUUGAUUUGAUGCUCUCACUUUAUUUUCUCUGAAUAUUUUCAUUAUACUAUGUUGUUUUCAUUUUUCUAUACUUCAAAGUAUAUUUCAAGUACUUUUAACACUCUCAUCCUGAGCAAUGAAGGUGCAAAAGUUUUUCUCUUUAUAUGUACCCAACAGUGUGAGAUUAUAAGAACAUGACAGCAUUUGUUAAGUUGCAGGUGACUAUCCUGGGAGACCAUGACUGAUUGCAUAAAAAAGGGAAUGCAGAGGACACCUCAAUGGGCCAGACAGCCAAAGCCACACACACAGACAUAUAUUCCAUAAGAGAUGGAUAUAUGUGGGCUGCUGAGGUUGGAGGUGCCCGACCCGGUGUUUGACACUAUCAUUCGCAGGUGGAUCGGGUAUCAAACUCCAACCAUAUUACCAUGUGACAGGCAUCUAGGCUGAGAUAUCCCUAAAAUGCAUAAUCAGUACAAGGGAGAAAAAGGAAAUUCCCCUUCAUAUCCAGAUGCAGUCAUCUUUUAUCUUGCUAUAAAAGCUCUGGCAACUUCUUGUAAUCCUAACUGUAUGUGGGCAUUAAUAUUAAUGCACCUGUCCUAUGUUCUAUGGGACUACUACCUCAAUAAUUCAGGAUAAUUAGAGUAAAGAUUAUUUUCUUAUUACUUUUGUCAUUAUUUUUAUCUUUCAUGACACUUUUAUCUUUGAUUUUGAUUACUAAGCAUUAAGAUCAUUUUUAUCUUUACAAUAUUAUUGAUAAGUUAAGAGUGAAAAUUUUCAUUGUUGUUGACAAUCACAAUUACUUUUCACAGCCAAAGUUUUGGCAAUAUAAUUUAGUUGUCUAUUUUGAAUCACUUAAAGUAUCAAUUGAUGAUGCUACAUGAUUUUGAUAUUUUUAAUGUUACUCACCAAUUUUAUCACAUUUUUAUAUCACUCACCUUUCUUUUUAAAAAUAAAAAAGGGGGAUAUGUAGCAUUCCAAGCAUAUUCACAUCUAUGAAAUAUAAAUGAUUGUAUGUUACUGUGUCUUCAGACACAAGGUUAUACUCGGAUGUUUGUGAAUGAAAUCUUGACCUGGCCAUGCGGCCUAUUGCCCAAGAUAAACUCAUUAACAUUUUGGCUCAGAGUCGCAUUCCAUUGAGAAAACGCGGGUUGAAAUCUACACGCCCAAAAAGGUGUUACUCUUACCACACCAUCCAAUCUUAAUUGUCUAUGCUUUGUAAUGUGAUCACUACGUGCUUGAGAAUGCCACCCUAAUCACUCGAGAAUAAAGACAGAGGCAGCCCCCAUGAAUUUUCUCUUGGAUCUUCAAUCUGCUCUAGGAAUAUCCCUGUCUCUCUCCCUCUCUAAUCCUUCUCCUCCACCUCAUGUUCCUUAGUUCUUAUAUUUUCCUUUCAAAGAGAAUAUCAUAGGGGUUUGCCUGCCCUAUUUAAACACUGAUUUGUCUGUGUCUGUCAUUCUUCACCCUGGUUCUCGGAUUCCCUAUCUCUCCUCGGGUCCCUAUCACAAAGGAAGAACCCCCUC